UUUAUUUAAUAAAUCUUCAAAAUUUUACUUCUGUUUGCAAACUAAUGAGCAAUUAUUAAAAAAAAAUUAAUUUCAUACAGAUCCCUGCAAACAUAAUGAAUUACAAAUAUAUCCCUACAGAAUUCACUUUUUAUAUAUUGUUCUUGCAAAAGUUCUGAUAUUUUUAAAUAUAUCCAUACCGUUAGAAUCCGUUAAAAAAAGCUUAGUUAACUAUUAUUAAAAUACUUAACUCUAAUUAGUUAAUGAAGUGAAUAGACCUUUUUAUUUCUUUUCAAUUAACGGUUGAAAUUUUUCAAGAAACAUAUUUAUGAUGACAAAGAAAUUAAUUUAUUUAUAAAAUAAAUAGUGAUUUAACGGUAACAAAUAAGAAGGACAUAUUUGAAAAUAUUAAAAUUUUUACAAAAAUAAUAUAUAAAAAUAUAUUUAUAAUUUAUUAUAUAUUUAUAGAAAUAUGUAUAAAAUUAAUCCUAUUUAAAAUUGCU
rnacentral:lncRNA from 1 species